UAUACAUGUAUUUUAAUGUACCAUUAUGAAUGCGUAUAAAUAUUUAAAAAUGUAAAACAGUGAUAAAAUUCACAGUAACCAAUACACAACUGUAAUCAACACAACUAAUUAUACCAAAUUAUAUAUUCAAAAGUCAUAUAGUUUUAGUGGAAUAUAGAAAAAUUACACUUUUAAAAUUGUCUAAGAAUUAUUCUGUUAUAAAUUUGCAAAAAAUGCAAGAUUAAAAAUAGGUAUUCACAGUUUUCAGAUAGGUCCUAAUAAUUUUAAUUAGCAUGCAGGUACUAUUUACUUUUUAUGAUCUAUCAUUGGUUAGAAACUGUGGGUUUUCGCGGAAUUAAGGUAGGGUUCUAUUAUAUAAAAACUUGGCCCCGGUGUUUUCAAAAGGGAUCCACAAAAUCUGGAAUAUUUAAAAUUUGUAAAUAUGCGCUUUGCAUAGAGUAAAAAUUAUCGCAAAUAUUUCAACAACAAACUACUUACAAUUACAGUCUUCGGAUUUUGUAAUAUUUUCGUAAAAAAACGAUACGAUUAAAAGCUUUAAACUUCGCGUUGGAAUGUAUUUUUUUUUUACAAAAAGGGAAUAUAAUUAACUUUACCUAAUUAAUAGAAACCUUACUCAAUUUCUACAUAAAGAAAUAAUAUGAAGGUACACCUCGUAUAAACACAUUGAGCGUUAUCCUACAUAAUUACUGAUAAACAUGCUACACGUAUGUAUUACGCAGUAAAUUGAUUAAACUUGUAACAAGUAUUACCACAAGACGUUACAUCGAAUUUGGCAACUUGAAUGAACACUUCGCUUAUACAAUAGAUGUAUAACACCGAUCUCUAAAUAUAUGAUAUUAUUAUAUUAGCAAAUUAUUUCGUUUCUCAGUUGGAGUUCAUAUCCACCAUCUUAUUACUCCUUUAAAAAGUAAAUAUUAAUCUCUUAUCGAUAUCUAUAAAAACUGUUUUUUAGGAUUAAAACACUUUGCUACUACUGGAUGUUUUAUAUUAGCGACAUCAGGACAAAAGUGACCUAACCCAUAAUUACACAAUUUAUUUCAAUAAUAAUUAGUAAUUUUGCAAUAGUCCAGUUUAUUUAAUGAAAUCCAUGUUAUGUAUAGAUGGGUAAAUGAUGAAGAUAAUAAGUAUGAAAUAGGAAAGUUGAAGCUAAUGAUGCUAAUCAAGUGUUGAGGCUACUUUUGUUCUGAUGUUCUCAUGUGUCACUAUGUAAUAAUAAUUAAUAAUAAAUAUUUUUAAGGAUAGACAAUCACUACAAAUCAAUCACAUUCUACAACUAUCUAUCGAACACUCGCACAUUACAUUAAUUACAUUAAAAUUUAUAUACAGAUUACAUCUAAAAUAUUACCUUAACUGCCUUAUAGCCUACUAAAAUGUUAAUAACACUGCACCUAACAUUAGGUAUAUGGCCACUGAUUUGCUUUAUUGUAGCUGAUAAAUAGAAGAUAUAAACAAUCAAACUUUCCGAUAAAUGGUAUUACAAUAAGAAAUAAUUCCAAACUUCUCUACUCGAAUAUAAACGCCACUAUAUACGUCUAACCGUCUUGUUACCACAGUUGAGCGAGUACAGUAAUGUUCUAUGUCUUUAUGGUCAAAAAAAAAUUACAUUUCCCUAUCACUAAUCCAUACUAAUCACCUACGACUAAAUUACUACAUUAGCUGUUUAUAUUUCACUGGAAUAAAAUAAUGCCCAAAAAUUUGCCCAAUCUCAGUCGUCGUAAUUUUAAAGACGGAAUAAACUUGCAUUUUAUAAAAAUUUCAAAUUUUAAAAUAGAACAACGCACAACCGCAUGUACUCGUACAAUCAUAACAUCACUGAGUCGAAGUCUGUAUCCCGAAUGUAGAUUUUUUGGGUAAACGUUUAGUUAUUCGUAUGAAAUAGUUUACAUUGUAUUUCUAUGAAAAUCUUAUCAACGCCUCUAGCCCCAAUUACAAUAUUGGAGUGUAUGGAUAAAACGGGGUUUGUUUACGUGUUCUAAAUCUGACACUCAGGAUACUUUUCAACCUAAAUUUAACAAAUUGAGCUAAUAGUCAUUAAUAAAUUUUUUGAUUAAUAUAGCAAACCCUAAAUAAAAACUUCUAUGAGAAGUAUGCCGGUUUUUAUUAAACUAUUGUUUAAAAUAAUUAUCCUUCAACUUUAUGCUUAGGCAGAGUUUAGUUUAAAUUAUAAAAUUGAAGAGGUUUUAGCAUAAAGAAGAAUUUACAAUAAUUUGGUGUUGUACAUUCGAACUGAAAGCGUAGUCUUAGUGUUCAGUAUUAAGUUUUUACAGUAUUACGUAC